rnacentral:lncRNA from 1 species
UGCUGUUAAACAUUACCCUGCACCAGAAAAAUCCCAUGUUUGUUGCUGUUUAGUUGUUCUCAAAUGUUGCAUGGGGAUAGAAUGUCAUGACCAUGUUUGACUUUUGAUGUUGGUUUAUGUUGGUUGUUCAUGAUGAUGAAGUUGAAUGAUGAAGCUUGCCCUGCUGUUUUGAGCCUUAUGAACAUUGUCCUAAAAAUCCAUUUGAUUGUGCUGUAUGCUGUUGAUUGCCUGCUGCUACACAUUGCCAAAUGCUAUGCUGCUAUGUGCUGUUGUUUGUUUUGCUUGAUUUGGUGAUGGACAUUGGAUGAUG